rnacentral:lncRNA from 1 species
AAGAUAAUAAAAGCAGUUAAACUCAAAAUAAGUAGAAAAGGUUAAUAAAAUGGAUAUAAAUCUCUAGCUAGACUGAUCAAGGAAGACAAAUAAAUACAACAAUAUCAGAAAAGAAAGAAUAUAACUACAGGUCUUGCAGACAGUAAAUACAUAGAUAAUAAAGGAGUAUUAUUGUUAUGGGUUGAACUAUGUCCUCCAAAAAUGUAUGUUUAAAUCAUAACCCCCAUACUUGUGAACGUGACCUUAUUUGGUAACAGGGUUGUUUUGCAGAUGUAAUCAUGUUAACAUGAGAUCAUUAGGGUGGGCCCUAAUCCAAUAUGACUAGUGUCCUUAUUAAAAGAGAAAACCACAUGUGAAGGCAGAGAUAUGCAGGGAGAAAUUCAUGUGAUGACAGAGUCAGAAAUUGAGGAAGAAGCUGAAAGUGCAGUAACACCAGGUACUGACAGCCACCACUGGAUGCUAGGAAGAGGCAAGGAAAACUCCAUCCAGAGCCUCAGAAAGAGAGUGGUCCUGUUAACACCUUAAUUUUGGACUCCUGGCCUCCAGAACAGUGAGAGAAUAAAUCUCUGUUGUUUUAAGCCACCAAAUUUCUGGUACCUUGUUACAGUAGCCCUAGGAAACUAAUAUGACUAUGAAGAACAAUAUGCCAAUAAAUUUGACAAUGUAGACAAAUGAAACAAGUUUCUUAAAAGACA